AGUGAACGCUGGCGGUAGGCCUAACACAUGCAAGUCGAACGGCAGCACAGUAAGAUCUUGCUCUUACGGGUGGCGAGUGGCGGACGGGUGAGGAAUACAUCGGAAUCUACUUUUUCGUGGGGGAUAACGUAGGGAAACUUACGCUAAUACCGCAUACGACCUACUGGUGAAAUCAUGGGAUCUUCGGACCUUGCGCGAUUGAAUGAGCCGAUGUCGGAUUAGCUAGUUGGCGGGGUAAAGGCCCACCAAGGCGACGAUCCGUAGCUGGUAUGAGAGGAUGAUCAGCCACACUGGAACUGAGACACGGUCCAGACUCCUACGGGAGGAAGCAGUGGGGAAUAUUGGACAAAGGGCGCAAGCCUGAUCCAGCCAUACCGAGUGGGUGAAGAAGGACUUAGGGUUGUAGAGCCCUUUUGUUGGGAAAGAAAAGCAGCAGGUUAAUACCCAGAUGUUCUGACGGUACCAAAAGAAUAAGCACCGGCUAACUUCGUG
rnacentral:rRNA from 1 species